UACGAAGGGGGCUAGCGUUGCUCGGAAUCACUGGGCGUAAAGCGCACGUAGGCGGAUCUUUAAGUCAGGGGUGAAAUCCUGGAGCUCAACUCCAGAACUGCCUUUGAUACUGGGGAUCUCGAGUCCGGGAGAGGUGAGUGGAACUGCGAGUGUAGAGGUGAAAAUUCGUAGAUAUUCGCAAGAACACCAGUGGCGAAGGCGGCUCACUGGCCCGGUACUGACGCUGAGGUGCGAAAGCGUGGGGAGCAAACAGG
rnacentral:rRNA from 1 species